GUCCUUAGUACGAGAGGACCGGGAUGGACACACCGCUGGUGUACCAGUUGUCUUGCCAAAGGCAUCGCUGGGUAGCUAUGUGUGGACGGGAUAAGUGCUGAAAGCAUCUAAGCAUGAAGCCCCCCUCAAGAUGAGAUUUCCCAUAGCGCAAGCUAGUAAGAUCCCUGAAAGAUGAUCAGGUUGAUAGGUCAGAGGUGGAAGCGUGGCGACAUGUGUAGCUGACUGAUACUAAUCGAUCGAGGACUUAACCAAAC
rnacentral:rRNA from 1 species